rnacentral:rRNA from 1 species
CGAAUGGCUCAUUAAUCAGUUAUCGUUUAUUUGAUAGUACCUUACUACUUGGGAUAACCGUGGUAAUUCUAGAGCUAAUACAUGCUAAAAGCCCCGACUCACGGAGGGGUGUAUUUAUUAGAUAAAAAACCAAUGCCCUUCGGGGCUCCCUGGUGAUUCAUAAUAACUCAACGAAUCGCAUGGCCUCGCGCCGGCGAUGGUUCAUUCAAAUUUCUGCCCUAUCAACUUUCGAUGGUAGGAUAGUGGCCUACCAUGGUGGCAACGGGUAACGGGGAAUUAGGGUUCUAUUCCGGAGAGGGAGCCUGAGAAACGGCUACCACAUCCAAGGAAGGCAGCAGGCGCGCAAAUUACCCAAUCCCGACACGGGGAGGUAGUGACAAUAAAUACUGAUACAGGGCUCUUUCGGGUCUUGUAAUUGGAAUGAGUACAAUUUAAAUCCCUUAACGAGGACCAAUUGGAGGGCAAGUCUGGUGCCAGCAGCCGCGGUAAUUCCAGCUCCAAUAGCGUAUAUUAAAGUUGUUGCAGUUAAAAAGCUCGUAGUUGAACCUUGGGCCCGGCCUACCGGUCCGCCUCACCGCGUCCACUGGCUCGGCCGGGCCUUUCCUUCUGGGGAGCCGCAUGUCCUUCACUGGGCGUGUCGGGGAACCAGGACUUUUACUUUGAAAAAAUUAGAGUGUUCAAAGCAGGCCUAUGCUCGAAUACAUUAGCAUGGAAUAAUGAAAUAGGACGUGCGGUUCUAUUUUGUUGGUUUCUAGGACCGCCGUAAUGAUUAAUAGGGAUAGUCGGGGGCAUCAGUAUUCAACAGUCAGAGGUGAAAUUCUUGGAUUUGUUGAAGACUAACCACUGCGAAAGCAUUUGCCAAGGAUGUUUUCAUUAAUCAGUGAACGAAAGUUAGGGGAUCGAAGACGAUCAGAUACCGUCGUAGUCUUAACCAUAAACUAUGCCGACUAGGGAUCGGGCGGCGUUGUUAUUUUGACCCGCUCGGCACCUUACGAGAAAUCAAAGUCUUUGGGUUCUGGGGAGAGUAUGGUCGCAAGGCUGAAAUUUAAAGACAUUGACGGAAGGGCACCAGCAGGCGUGAAACCAUCCGGGCGUGUCCCGGCAGCUCCGCGCCUUGAAACGGGCCACCCCCACGGGCUGGGGUGCGCUGGAGCCCUUGCAUCACUUGGACCCGUUGCCCUGCUGCAGCAGGCACCGCACCCAGCGUGUGGGAAGCCUCCCGGUUGUCCGCCGGGAGUCACCCGCAGCCGGUUCGAGUCUCGGUGCCCUUGCACCGGGCCUGCCCGGUUCAGAGAAUAGACGGGUGCGGGUUUUCAGGCCCGCCACGGCGAGGGUACCAAGUUGGCAUUGGCUACCCUUCCCAUGCGUCCCCCCGGUCCGCCUGGGCCUGGCGCCCUCGACUGGGCCGGCCGGGUGGGGACGUGGGAGGAUUCGAAAGCAGAAGAUGUAUUCCUUCCCGGCAGUAAUGCCUCACUGGGACCCCAGGGAGCCUGCGGCUUAAUUUGACUCAACACGGGGAAACUCACCAGGUCCAGACACUUUAAGGAUUGACAGAUUGAGAGCUCUUUCUUGAUCAAGUGGUUGGUGGUAACGUAUGAUGUUGCACCCCCUUUGAAAGGGGUGCCGCCAUGUGCCAUCCAGAGCGGCCGCGGCAGUGCCUGGAAACAGGUAUCCUGCCCGGCCAGCUAGCCCUCGCCAGCGCGCAAGAGGCAACAUCUCCCCCGUGCUGGAAGCCACCAGGUCCCUCUGGUGGUAUCAGCAGCCGGUGCAUCCCCAGGGGCCAUCCUCUGGGCGCUGCUCUGGCUCACAGACUAAGCGGAGAUGGGCUCACCUGCCUGCGUUCAGGGAGUUGCAGAUAUAGACGAACCCGCGGGCGCAAGCCUGACGGUAGCGUGGCAUGGCCGUUCUUAGUUGGUGGAGUGAUUUGUCUGCUUAAUUGCGAUAACGAACGAGACCUUAACCUGCUAAAUAGCCCGGCCCGCUUCGGCGGGUCGCUGGCUUCUUAGAGGGACUAUCGGCUUAAGCCGAUGGAAGUUUGAGGCAAUAACAGGUCGUACUUUUCCGUGUGCACACAAGUAUGUCCACAGCCUGUUGCCGCUGCUGGAGAUUACCAUGGCAUGGCCGGCGGUUCACGUUGUUCGUGGCCGGCGGCCCCUAGGUCUUCUCACGCAGCUGCUCCGCCGGAGGGUUCUCUCUGGCGGGGUGACACCACUGGUACAGUGAAGAUCGUUGCUGGUCAGCGGUCAAUACUGUGGUGAAGGCGGAUGGGUGGGCCCCAUCUGCCUCAUUGCAACGCGCGGCAAGUGGUGGCCUCGCAGUCUGCUGUGGGGUUCAGGUACGCGCUUCCACAUUCCCAGGGGCAACCCUGUUCUGCCAUGUUCCUCCAGGCCCUCCGCCUGCUGGAACAGGGCCGAAAGGAUUCUGUACGGUAGGCCGCCUGCAGGCUCCUAUCCGGUGUGAGCUGUGAUGCCCUUAGAUGUCCUGGGCCGCACGCGCGCUACACUGACAGAGCCAGCGAGUCCACUGCCUUGGCCGAAAGGUCUGGGUAAUCUUGUUAAACUCUGUCGUGCUGGGGAUAGAGCAUUGCAAUUAUUGCUCUUCAACGAGGAAUGCCUAGUAAGCGCAAGUCAUCAGCUUGCGUUGAUUAACUCCCUGCCCUUUGUACACACCGCCCGUCGCUACUACCGAUUGAAUGGCUCAGUGAGGCCCUCGGACCGACGCAGGGAGUGCGGCAACGCUCACCCAGCGCCGGAAAGUCCGUCAAACUCGGUCAUUUAGAGGAAGUAAAAGUCGUAACAAGGUUUCCCCUGGGAG